AGGCCCGCAGGCCUCUCCUGGAGUUGCCCCCAGAGUUGACGGGUGCCGGGGGGGUGGGGUGGGAGGCACAGGCUUUGCUCUGUUGGAGCCUCAAGGAGGGCACCAUGUUAAGGCUGGAGGCUGUGCAGGAGAGGAUGGUCUGUGCACAGAGCAGGAAGACAACCCUGGGGGGAGAGGCAUGCUAGUGGGGGAUGACAUCAUUGCAGAGAUGGAGGUGGUGGCCAAGGAGGAAGGCCAAUGUGGAGCCACAGCAGGAGGACCUGCAGGCACAGCCUGGCCCUGGCCCCAGUACGCCCCGGCCAGCAACAGACUCGCUGGACGUCCUUCACUUGGAGCUCGGCUACGUGAAUGUCCCAGGCCACAGGGCAUCCCCGGCUUCUGGGCCAUUGUGCGGCACACCGAGAUGUUGGCCGGGAUCACAAAUGAUGAUGAAGUCCUGCUAAGCUACGUACGUGAUGGAUUUGCAGGUCUUUUAUCACAGUCUCUACUUCCACAAUGAAGUGAUCAUUCAGGAGUACUGCCUUGGCAUCCUCGGUAAGGAGCGCCUCCCAUUCCACUGCAGUCUAGUGGUUGUGGGAUCAUGAAGGUCAAGCCUCCAGCUGCAGGCCGUACAGCUCCUACCUGACCUUCUUCAGCUGGUUGGCUGACCAUGACUGCCCAGGUUCUGGCAGGAUUGCUGAGAUCAUCAGCCAGAGCCUGUAGCUCAAUCCCCUGCAGUACUUC
rnacentral:lncRNA from 1 species